ACUCCUACGGGAGGCAGCAGUGGGGAAUAUUGCACAAUGGGCGCAAGCCUGAUGCAGCCAUGCCGCGUGUAUGAAGAAGGCCUUCGGGUUGUAAAGUACUUUCAGCAGUGAGGAAGGUGGGUAUGUUAAUAGCAUACUCAUUUGACGUUAGCUGCAGAAGAAGCACCGGCUAACUCCGUGCCAGCAGCCGCGGUAAUACGGAGGGUGCGAGCGUUAAUCGGAAUUACUGGGCGUAAAGCGCAUGCAGGUGGUUUGUUAAGUCAGAUGUGAAAGCCCGGGGCUCAACCUCGGAAUUGCAUUUGAAACUGGCAAACUAGAGUACUGUAGAGGGGGGUAGAAUUUCAGGUGUAGCGGUGAAAUGCGUAGAGAUCUGAAGGAAUACCGGUGGCGAAGGCGGCCCCCUGGACAGAUACUGACACUCAGAUGCGAAAGCGUGGGGAGCAAACAGGAUUAGAUACCCUGGUAGGCUCU
rnacentral:rRNA from 1 species